ensembl:lncRNA novel transcript
ACAGACCAUCGUACUCAUACUCUGACUUCUAGAUGGGGUAAUGGGGAAGCCAGGGGUGUCAGCUGUGACCCUCGAAGGAAAGGGAUCACCCUCUUUCUGACCCUAUACCACCUUCAGCAGGGAUGAAGGCAGUCAGAGAAAACUUAGUUAAAAAAUUUCUAAACUGCUUUGCUGAUUUGAUCUGGGGCCCUGGAGUGCCAACAUCCUGUGAUAGCGGCUGAUUGUUGAUGCCUGGGAGGAUACAGCAGUGACGAUCCAAAUUUACAAGACUCAACAUGGUUUUCAAAACUUCCUUUUAAAAAAGAUGUUCCUGAGUUCUGGAAUCUGAACAAAAUAUGUCUGGUUAUUAUAUAAUUCUAAUGGUCCUUGUGGAUGCUACCAUUAGAGUUCAGUUAGUGUCUCAUCUAUCACUGUAAUAUUUGUAUUGUAACACUAAUCGUGGCAAAGUAUGAUUUGAUAAAUGCUCAUUCUCAAA